UACGAAGGGGGCUAGCGUUGCUCGGAAUCACUGGGCGUAAAGCGCACGUAGGCGGAUUGUUAAGUCAGGGGUGAAAUCCUGGAGCUCAACUCCAGAACUGCCUUUGAUACUGAGGAUCUUGAGUUCGGGAGAGGUGAGUGGAACUGCGAGUGUAGAGGUGAAAUUCGUAGAUAUUCGCAAGAACACCAGUGGCGAAGGCGGCUCACUGGCCCGAUACUGACGCUGAGGCACGAAAAGCGUGGGGAGCAAACAGG
rnacentral:rRNA from 1 species